rnacentral:lncRNA from 1 species
AGAUGCAGCUGACGCGUUGGCGAAGUGGUCCAGGUGAGGCUGCUGCCUCCUUUCCUUAACUGGCAGCGGAGACUGCAGAUCGUUCGGUGGAGGAGAACCGUAGAAAACUGUUCAAGAAUUCCUUUUGCUCUUCUGUUCCCUGUGGCUUUGGAAGUGGAGGAACUGGGGUCACAUCCUACCUUUGUCAUCAACAGCAAGUAAGUAACCUUUUCGAUGUUGUUCUCCUCUCUGGGUUUCCGUUUCAUCAUCAGUGAAAUGAAUA